rnacentral:rRNA from 1 species
GACGAACGCUGGCGGCGUGCUUAACACAUGCAAGUCGAACGGGCCCGCCCCUGUUUUUGGGGGUGGGUUGAGUGGCGAACGGGUGAGUAUCACGUGAGUAACCUGCCCCCUGCUCCUGGAUAACUGCUUGAAAGGGCGGCUAAUACGGGGUGUACCGGCUGGUCCGCAUGGGCCUGGUCGGGAUAGUUUCAUCUUCGGGUGUUUCGGUGGGGGAUGGGCUCGCGGCCUAUCAGCUUGUUGGUGGGGUGAUGGCCCACCAAGGCGGUGACGGGUAGCCGGCCUGGGAGGGUGGGCGGCCACACUGGGACUGAGACACGGCCCAGACUCCUGCGGGAGGCAGCAGUGGGGGGUAUUGCACAAUGGGCGGAAGCCUGAUGCAGCGACGUCGCGUGAGGGAUGGAGGCCUUCGGGUUGUGAACCUCUUUCUCCGGUGGUGAAGGCCCUGUCCGUUGCGGCGGGGUUGACGGUAGCCGGGUAUGAAGCGCCGGCUAACUACGUG